GAAACACUUUGGAAGGGGUGUUGUUGGUGUUGUGGCAGAACACCCAAAGUGCCAAGGCAUUGCUCGGGACUGAGAGGAUGAAGAUGACAAUGUAGAAGGCUGAGAACAGGAUGUUCUCCAUGUGAGAGCUGAGGCUUUGACUUCACGUUGGAGGCAUCACACAAAAAUGACAUGUACAGACACGUGAACUCAUCUGAUGCAGCAUCAGCCCUUCUACAAAAUCCCCAUUAACACACAUCACCCUCUACUGGUCUCUUUACCUGCUAGCCAAGUCAUGUCUCUGCUGAUCUUCCAGAACCCCGCUACAUCUCCAGUAACCUUCUAGAGUCACGUCACGUCUCUGAACCUGUCCGAGAGCAGAGAGGGUUGCUGUCCAGUGUAGACGAUCCACCGUUAACUUCAGUACUAGCAGCUGGCAUUCCGAAACCCCCACCAGCCGCUUCGCACUCAAGUCCGCCGGCCGCUUCACACUCAAGCCCGCAGGCUGCUUCGCACUCAGGUUCGCCGGUCGCUACGCACUCAAGUUCGCCGGUUGCAACGCAAUCUCACUGGAUGCUAUGGACAAGAUGGCCACUUCACCAGUGCCCAUGGGCAAGAUGGCCGCCCCUUCAGUGUCAGCGAACAAAGGGGUCAUUCCAGCCAUUGAGUCUGCUCCAGAGCCCGCACCAGGCCCAGAGGCCGCCCCAGAGACCACUCUGGCGCCGCCCAAGCGUCUUGCCCUGUCGGCGCCAUCGGAGCUCCUUGCCCUGCCGGUGCCACCCAAGAGCCCUGCCCUGCCGGCACCACCCGAGCUCCUUGCCUUGCCGGCACCACCAGAGCUCCUUGCCCACGAACCCGCCACCGCCUCCAUUGAAUUCCCCAAGAACUUUUUUUUGGGGGGGGGCAUAUACCUGAGGGUGGGGAACUUGUGGGUGGGGAUAAAUUUACAAUUACUACACCAUGUAAAUAUUUAUUUACAGGUGUUGGCAAACUUGGCAUAUGCGCCAAUUAAUGUUUCUGGAGGUGGGUGCCCACAUAAUGUUGUGCUUCUGGCAACAUUAAAUCCUGGAGAGAAGACAAUUCUAGAUUCAUGGCUGCACAUGCAGGAGGACAAAGUUUGAGCACGCACAUGUAAUAUCUAAGUGAAAGCGCGCGUGCGCGUCCAGAAUCCGCCUGUGAGCUGAAAGAUUCCUGCUCACGCAUUUGAUGUGCUCGUGUUACAAUAAUGAGCCACAGGAGUGAUAACGGGGCGUACACGGUGCGAAUUCUGAUGGUCGGAAGAUCGUAUGUCCACGCACACGUCAUGAGUGAGUUUAUCUGAAAAUCGUACGGACGAGGUGAUAUGCACCUGAUCUUCAGCACUCCCUUUAUAGGACUCACUUGCCUGCACUCCUUUGUCUGUCCUUGAUGUUGUUUGGUGUUAGUUUAAAGGCGUAGUUGUUCUGUUCAUAUGUUAUGUUUGAAGAAUAAACCUAUUGCUGCUGAUGUUCAUUCCUGCAUCCUCUCUUGCUUGCAACUACCCAUAACAGAAGGACAGACCAAGACAGUAAGGACACAGCAGCACGAUGGUGAUUUUCCUUCACCCGAUUUCUCCCGUGCUCUCCAAGACCUGCAUUCCGGCGGAGGAGCGUCUGUGGAGGCUUAGGCAGGACGGUCGUCUGCUAGAGAUGUAUGUGGAGGAAUUUUCUGAGAUUUCUUGCUUGGUGGGCUGGCCAGAUGCAACUCUUAACGCGUGUUUUCUGAAGGGCCUGGACGAGGCUACUAUUCGUUAUAUUGAACCAGAAUUUUCUGAGCUUUCUUGCUUGGUGGGCUGGCCAGAUGCAACUCUUAACGCGUGUUUUCUGAAGGGCCUGGACGAGGCUACUAUUCGUUAUAUUGAACCUGCCUGUUCUUUACAGAUCAGUCACUUCUCUGUGCUGAGCCUGUCUGGUGCCCCCUUGAGCAACCUUUGGGAGAGAUAACAUUAGCAAGACACAAGCCCCUUGACCCCCAACAAGUGGCUGUUAGGGUGUUAAACACCCUACAAGUAGUCAUUUAUAUCAACUGUGUUAUUUACAAAACAACAAUUUUCAUCUACACAUUAGUUAAUCUACACUUCCGAGGUCUUUCAGAGACGUGACUUCAGGAUCAAUGGGUCUCUUGAGAAUAUUUAACUGGGCUUAAAAACCAAAAAUUAAUCCAAAUCCCCUACCUGGCAUGCCCACAUCAGACUCUGUGCUUGAAGCUAUCUUUGCUGUUAAAUAUGUUUAAAAACCUCACAUGUAAUCUAAUAUUUUUUUUAAGCCUCAUAGAUCUAUAUGAUUUACUUUUCUUAUUUCUACAAAGUUUCAAUUCCUAGUAAAUAUAAAGUAAAAAGAUAAAAAACAUUUGUCAACAUUAUUGUUUUGUUUUAACAAAUAGGGAUUACUAUACUCCAACAGUUCCUCACACAAUGAACGCAUUAAGGGUGGCCAAAGGUUCAUGACAAUGUGUGAAAACACAUUACUAUGUAAGAUAGUUUUACCAAAAAUCAAAUACUCUAAUAAUUUUUUUAAAAAGAUAAUCUUGUUUUAAAGUAUGAAUAAAAAGUUAAAAGCAAACAUAUAUUCAUACCCAUUUGUUCUGACACAAUGCCAUUCAUUGUUUCUUUUUGUUUUAAAGAAUUUUAUUUCUAGGUUCAUGCUACCAUUAUCAGCGUGUUAAAUAAAAAGUUAAUACAUGAUGAAACGAGAGAAUCAUGUUACCAAAUUCUUUUGACACAAUGUUUUUAAGAAAAAUGUUUUUGUGUGUUUGUUUUUUAAAUACAACUAAACCAGAUAACACAUUAUUUUACUUUUGAUAGACUAUUAGACAAAAAAUAUUUUCCGUGGUGUUGGAAUAGGACUUAUUUUAAAGUUUUGGAUAUGUUACAAUCAUGCGAUUCAAAGAUCCAGAUGAAGAUUCAUAUUAAACAAAGAAAAAGAAUGUCAUUUUCACUUGUGAACAUGUAUUUAUACACAUUUUCAACAUGUAUUAUACAAUAUUUGCUCACACCAUUUUUGAAGGUUUUGUAAUGCUUUAGAUCAGAAUCCAGAUUUUAGCAACCAACAUGACAUUAAAUAGAUGUACCAGUGUACAAGUGUGUCUCAACUGUUUAUAACAAUUUUAUUAGAUUAUUAUUUUUUACUCAAAUAAAUAGAUAUUAAAUAUAUAGCUUACUGACAUUGCUUUUUCCCCUACAGAUAAAAGCCAAACAUGUUCUUUGUAGAAAAUAUGUGAACCAAAAACUAAAUGAGAAUAUUUUAUACAGUUAUAUUUUCAGAAAUGCAAAGGGCCCAAUUACAAAGAAAAUAAAUGGAUAGUUUUUGUAGUGCAAUUAUCCAUCUCUUCGAUGUGGGAUUGCAUGAAACGUCAACACGAAAAUGAAGUCUGGUUGUUUGCGCUUGAAAGGAUUACAACUGAGACAUAUCUAACCAUUGCGCUGAAAGCUAUGAUUUCAUUCAUUUUGAGGAGGGUAAAACAAAGUUACACACUGUAGUAAAGCUAUUGAUACAUCUCAAACAUCAUCUUUGUACAAAUUAUGUGAGCACAAUAAAUUCUCAGAUCUAAAUUCAAGAGGCCUAGUAACUAAGAAAGCACUGCAAAACAUCAUUUAAUAAAAGUGUUAUACUGCAUACAGAAAUCCACACUUGAUCUAUAGUGAUAGGCAUUUUACCCCCUUCACUAGUCUUAGUCACAUUAUAAAGACUAUCAAGAUUACUGGUAGCAUUUUAUUUAUCGGUCUGUAUAUGAUUUUAACUGAAUACUCAUCCCUGGUUGCUGUCAGUUUAAAGGUGCCCUAGAAUGCUUUUUCACAAGAUGUAAUAUAAGAUAUAAUAAGUCUAAGGUGCCCCCUGAAUGUGUCUGUGAAGUUUCAGCUCAAAAUACCCCAUAGAUUUUUUUUUUAAUUCAUGUUUUUAACUGCCUAUUUUGGGGCAUCAUUAUAAAUGCGCCGAUUCCGCCUGCUUCCCCUUUAAAUUCUCGCACUCCCCGCCCCCGAGCUCGCAAGUGGGAUGGUGUGACCCCAAACGUGCGGUACAAGGUGAUAAAGCCUGGUGAUAAUGUAUCCAUAUUAACCCUUAUGGAACAUGUCACUUCAUGACCAAAACCUCAUUAAGUUGAUGAAACCCCAUGAGGAAUCCAAAAUGGAUUUUUUGUCUCAAAGCAGAAACGUUUCUGACGAUGAGUGGGAUCGCGAUUGGCCCUUUCCAGAGGACGACCCCUUUGAAUUCUGUAGAACUACAAAGAGUGUAUAUUUUGAGUGGAGCGAUGUACCUGCAUUACAUACCGUCUUUUUAACAAUAGACAAGCUGUUUAAUUCGAGCUGAAUUCAUUUUAAGCAUUGCUAAAAAUGUUCAGUCAGUCAUGGUGAUGUGCCUUAAUCUGUAUUUCACGAGUUCACAUAUCCAUAUAAUUAAACAGAGUAAAGUUAUGCGUAUUUGGCGUGCUGUCCGGGGAGAGGGCUCAGAGCUCGGAAUUUUGGCCCGAACCCAGAGUACUCCCCCCGGUGUGGUAAAAGUAGAUAGAACUAUAAGUGAGGAGAUGGGGUGGAGGAGGGAUGCUGAUAAACUCUCAGAUGAACGGAAGUCAGUCUGCUGAAUUUAUACCUUUUGACAUUGGUUGAGUUGAUUAACUGAAUGCUCUCCACCUGUGCUAAUUAGGUUAAUUAUCUGAACUUGCUCCUCCCGAAUUUUGUUAAUAAAACAUCAUUAAAUGGUAACGUGAUAUAGCAAAACUUGAACUGUACAAUGAUAUUGUAAUGUAUUGAGCCCUUGCUUCUGUUUUGUGUUACUUGACAUUAUCCGUGUUCCUUGCUAUAUGUGUAAUUGUCUUUGUUUAAUAAAAUGAAUCCAAUUUA